UAUCAUCAUUACAAUCAUUUUCGUCGGUGAAUCUAGAACGGAGAUAGUCAAACAUUUCGAUUUGUGUACUACAAUCAAACUCAUUUCACUUUCCCCUAAGCAGAUUAGUUUAACGGGUCACAGUAACUAUUAAAAUUACACCCGCAACGUAGAGGAAGAAGAGGCGUAGGGGUGGUGGAGGAGGAGAGUACUGUUGAUACCCAAAUUAUUGGGCUCUAGCCCAAUACUCAGGCUCAUCACAAUUGGAACAUGCGGAUUGAAGGUGCGCGAUUGCGAGGACAAAGCAGAACAACCUGGACCCAGUGGCCUAGACUCAGUUAGAUGCAUGAUAAUUUAGUAUCAAGUAUUUAUUAGACGAAUCUCUAUUACAGGUGUAUAAAACCAAGGAGACCCUAUUCCGGCGAUAAAGAACCACAGGGAAGGAUCGCUGGCCGGAGGGGAGGAAUUGGGGAAAAAGAGAAGAUUAACGAAAAUAACGGAUCUUUGAAUUGGAAAAAUAUCAAAGAUGUAAUUGAAUUAAUUUUUAUUUGAGUUUACAACUGUUAUUUAUAAUAUUUGUAAACUACGAAUUACAUUACAACCCUGAACCUAUUUUUAUUACAACCGGGUCCAUUUUAUGAUUUAAUUAUAAAAUCUUCUUUUGGACCGGUCCAUUUAGAUUUAACUUCUUCUGGGCUGUAACCUGUGAUUAAACUUAACAAACACACCAAAU
rnacentral:lncRNA from 1 species